rnacentral:rRNA from 1 species
AGUGAACGCUGGCGAUAGGCCUAACACAUGCAAGUCGAACGGCAGCACAGUAAGAGCUUGCUCUUACGGGUGGCGAGUGGCGGACGGGUGAGGAAUACAUCGGAAUCUACUUUUUCGUGGGGGAUAACGUAGGGAAACUUACGCUAAUACCGCAUACGACCUACGGGUGAAAGCAGGGGAUCUUCGGACCUUGCGCGAUUGAAUGAGCCGAUGUCGGAUUAGCUAGUUGGCGGGGUAAAGGCCCACCAAGGCGACGAUCCGUAGCUGGUCUGAGAGGAUGAUCAGCCACACUGGAACUGAGACACGGUCCAGACUCCUACGGGAGGCAGCAGUGGGGAAUAUUGGACAAUGGGCGCAAGCCUGAUCCAGCUAUACCGCGUGGGUGAAGAAGGCCUUCGGGUUGUAAAGCCCUUUUGUUGGGAAAGAAAAGCAGCAGGUUAAUACCCCGCUGUUCUGACGGUACCCAAAGAAUAAGCACCGGCUAACUUCGUG